rnacentral:rRNA from 1 species
GAGUUUGAUCAUGGCUCAGGACGAACGCUGGCGGCAGGCUUAACACAUGCAAGUCGAACGCCCCUUCAGGGGAGUGGCAUACGGGUGAGUAACGCGUGGGAAUCUACCCAAUUCUACGGAACAACAGUUGGAAACGACUGCUAAUACCGUAUACGCCCUACGGGGGAAAGAUUUAUCGGAAUUGGAUGAGCCCGCGUAAGAUUAUCUAGUUGGUGGGGUAAUGGCCUACCAAGGCGACGAUCUUUAUCUGGUCUGAGAGGAUGAUCAAUCACACUGGGACUGAAACACGGCCCAAACUCCUACGGGAGGCAGCAGUGGGGAAUAUUGGACAAUGGGCGCAAGCCUGAUCCAGCCAUGCCGCGUGAGUGAUGAAGGCCUUACGGUUGUAAAGCUCUUUCAGUAGGGAAGAUAAUGACGGUACCUACAGAACAAGCCCCGGCUAACUUCGUGCCAACAUCCGCGGUAAUACGAAGGGGGCUAACGUUGUUCCGAUUUACUGGGCGUAAAGCGCACGUAGGCGGCUUGUUAAGUCAGAGGUGAAAUCCCGGAGCUCAACUCCGGAACUGCCUUUGAUACUGGCAAGCUAGAGUCCGGAAGAGGUAAGUGGAACUCCUAGUGUAGAUGUGGAAUUCGUAGAUAUUAGUGAAGAACACCAGUGGCGAAUGCCGCGUACUGGUGCGGAACUGACGCUGAUGUGCAAAAGCGUGGGGAGCAAACGGGAUUACAUACGCUGAUAGUCCACGCCGUAUACUAUGAGAUCUAGCCGUUAGGGUGGUUUAACACUCAGUGGCGCAACUAACGCAUUGAUCUCUACUACCUGGGGGGUACCGUCGCAAGAUUUAUACACAGAUGAAUUGACAGUGACCGCACUGGCGAUGCAGCAUGUGGGUUAAUACUAAGCAGCACUAACAGCUUACAGACCAUUGACAUGGAUCAGGACGUUUUACUAGAUGAAUGCGUACACAUUCUGUGACUGACAUCACAGUGCUGCAUGUUGUCGAUCUGCUCUGUCGCGAGACAUGUUAGCGCUAAAUACCCGCACCGAUGCAAUCCUCGUCCUAGUUGCAUACAGUUAGGUUGGAACUCUAAAGAACUGCCACGCUAUAGCCUGAAGAACAGUGAAUAGCUUCAAUCUCUAUGGACCUCUAUCGUCUUGAACUACCACACGAGGCGUACUGA